ensembl:lincRNA
CUCUCAAUGGGAAUAACAGUGUCUCUCCCCUUCCCUGGGGUUCACUCCUUCACAGGUGUCCGACAGGUGUGACUAUGUCUUUGUCAAUGGGAAGGAAAUGAAAGGCAAGGUGAAUGUGGUGGUCACCUUCUCCUACCAGCACCUGGUCAGCCCCCUGGAGAUGACUGUCUGGGCGCCCCGGCUCCCGCUGCAGAUUGAGGUCUCGGACACAGAGCUCAACCAGAUCAAGGGCUGGAGAGUCCCCAUUGUCUCCAACAAAAGGGAGAAAGGCUCUAAGGAUAGCCCACGCUGAGGAGGAGUGUCACCCAACGUGGACGCAGGGAGGAAGAUGGGGACCCUGCUGCCACCUCCAUCCGCUGGGUGGACAGGCCUCGGGCUGUGCGGCCGGACACCCUGGGCCUCGUCUGAGUCUGAACCGCGAGCUGCCGGGAGGUGUCAUGGCCACCCCUCCGCCGGGGGGUUCCGCGUUCCUCUCGUCCCUCUGACCUGACUCCUCCACAGGCCGGCUCGGGACAGCGAGGAGGAGGACGACGAGGAGAGGCGGGGCCGCGGCUGCGCGCUGCAGUUCCAGCGCGCCUGUGCGGCCGGACACCCUGGGCCUCGUCUGAGUCUGAACCGCGAGCUGCCGGGAGGUGUCAUGGCCACCCCUCCGCCGGGGGGUUCCGCGUUCCUCUCGUCCCUCUGACCUGACUCCUCCACAGGCCGGCUCGGGACAGCGAGGAGGAGGACGACGAGGAGAGGCGGGGCCGCGGCUGCGCGCUGCAGUUCCAGCGCGCCCUGGGGCGGGUCCUCACACAGUUUGUGGCCGAGGCGGCCGGGCCUGGGGGACAGCUGGCCCACCUGCUGGGCGCGGACUGGCAAGUGGACAUCACAGAGCUGAUCGGUGACUUCAUGCAGGUGGAGGAGCCCAGGAUUGCCAAGCUGCAGAGGGGACAAAUCCUGACCGGGCAGGAGCUGGGCAUGACCACCAUCCAGAUCCUGUCCCCACUGUCAGAUGCCAUCCUGGCUGAGAAGACCAUCACUGUGCUGGAAGAGAAGGUGACCAUCACAGACCUGGGGGUCCAGCUGGUGACGGGACUGUCCCUCUCCCUACAGCUCAGUCCCGGGAGCAACAGGGCCAUCUUUGCCACUGCGGUGGCCCAGGAGCUGCUGCAGAGGCCCAGACAGGAAGCAGCCAUCAGCUGCUGGGUGCAGUUCAGCGAUGGCUCUGUCACUCCCCUGGACAUCUAUGAUGGGCAGGACUUCGCACUGGUGGCCACGUCCUUGGAUGAGAAAGUGGUCUCUGUCCAGCAGGACCCACGGCUCCAGUGGCCAGUCCUCGCAGCCGAGACAGAGGGACAGGGCACGCUGGUGAAGGUGGAGAUGGCCAUCAGUGAGCCAUGCCAGAAGUCCAAGCGCAAGAGCGUGCUGGCCGUGGGAACAGCCUCCGUCAGGGUCAAAUUUGGCCAAAGUGACGCCAACCCCAACAACAGUGACAUCCAGCGCACAGGGGAGGCCAGUCACCUGGAAAACAGCAUGGGUGAUGGGUCCACAAAGCUCCUGCCAGAAUGGGGGUCCCCGGACAGUCGGCUCCAGAGCAGCUCUUCCUCUGUGGGCCUCAGGGAGGGCCGGGGCGGCUCCACACCAAGGCCGAGCUUCCCCAGGGGCCGGGGUCAGGGCCAUGCGCAGGAGGACAGCAGCCCCCCGCACACUGUGGACCUCGCCGACCUCACCAGGGGUGAUACGGACAUGGAGGGCGGCAGCCUGGCCCAGGCACCCAAGGGCCUGAGUGACCUGGAGAUCGGCAUGUACGCGCUGCUGGGCGUCUUCUGCCUGGCCAUCCUCGUCUUCCUCAUCAACUGCGCCACCUUCGCCCUGAAGUUCAGGCGCAAGCAGGUGACGCUCGAGGGCCAGGAGGGCCUGAGCCGCGCACAUGACUGGGUGGGGCUGAGCAACCGGACAGAGCUGCUGGAUGCCCAGGCAGCCUUGAGCUCCUGCCCUGAGGAGCAGAUCACGGCCAUCGGCCGGGGCGAGGACCCAGAAGAGAGCAAGUACCUCCUGCUCGGCACAGGCGCCCCCGGCCCCAGUGGGCAGCUGCUCCCCCCCACGGAAGUUGCACCUGCAGACAGCGAGGGGCAGCGUGCUGAGCUGCCCACAUCCCCUACCUCGAAAAGGAAAAGAGUGACCUUCACGACCUUCACCGCCAUGGCACCAGGUACCAUGUUCCAGCCAGCAGCGCCAUCGUGCUGA